AAGAAAGAAAAAAGAACUGCUAAUUCUUUAAACCACACCUCAACCUGUGGCUUUCUUG
rnacentral:tRNA from 1 species